rnacentral:rRNA from 1 species
AUUGAACGCUGGCGGCAGGCCUAACACAUGCAAGUCGAACGGUAACAGGAAGAAGCUUGCUUCUUUGCUGACGAGUGGCGGACGGGUGAGUAAUGUCUGUGAAACUGCCUGAUGGAUGGGGAUAACUACUGGAAACGGUAGCUAAUACCGCAUAACGUCGCAAGACCAAAGAGGGGGACCUUCGGGCCUCUUGCCAUCGGAUGUGCCCAGAUGGGAUUAGCUAGUAGGUGGGGUAACGGCUCACCUAGGCGACGAUCCCUAGCUGGUCUGAGAGGAUGACCAGCCACACUGGAACUGAGACACGGUCCAGACUCCUACGGGAGGCAGCAGUGGGGAAUAUUGCACAAUGGGCGCAAGCCUGAUGCAGCCAUGCCGCGUGUAUGAAGAAGGCCUUCGGGUUGUAAAGUACUUUCAGCGGGGAGGAAGGGAGUAAAGUUAAUACCUUUGCUCAUUGACGUUACCCGCAGAAGAAGCACCGGCUAACUCCGUG